GCAACUAUAAUCCUUAAAUUUUUAAAAAAAUUACAAAAAAUCAUAAAUUCUCAACCACCACCAUUUUCACAACCUAUCAAGCUGCCAACUAUAAAUCCACAUAAUUCCACCUUUCGGCCACCAUGCCCACCGGACUCCACCAUCGUAAAUGUGGUUGUUUCGGACAGAUUGGUGACCAAUACUAUGGAGGAGGAUAUUGGGGAGAGUGAGGCGACGCUGGUGGUGGUGGAGUCCUAUGUGUUGUGGUCGAAAAGUGGUGCUAUAUGGAUCUAUAGGUGGUGGCUUGGUGGGGUUGUAAAAGUGGCGGUAGUGGAGAAUUUAGGAUUUAUCUGUAAUGUUUUGAAAGAUUUAGAACUAUGAUUAUAAUUAAUUAAUUAUUUUUUUCUUUUCUUUUUGUUUUAUUUGAAUAGGAGAGUAAAAUCGUCAUUUUAUUGAAAAAAUGGAUGAGAAUGACCUUUUUUGCAAUGAAAGGUGAAAGGUAGGGGUGAAAAUGCUAAAAA
rnacentral:lncRNA from 1 species